ACCCUCUAAAACAGAGGGGAAGUUCCAAGAAAAUUUCUAAUGGGAGCUGCUGACAGAGAUAUAGGAAACACAGAGCUGGAGCGGAUCUCCUGUUAAAGAACAUCUCCAAGGCGCUAUGAACCAUCUGACUAGGCAGUUCGUGAAGACAGAUAAUCAAUGUUAUGACAACCUGUACAGAAGUCAGUUCCAGAUCCACCCUUCACACAAUACCUCUCUCUCAUAUGGAUAGCUGUCUACUAGCAUAUUAUG